rnacentral:rRNA from 1 species
AUUGAACGCUGGCGGCAUGCUUUACACAUGCAAGUCGAACGGUAACAGGCCGCAAGGUGCUGACGAGUGGCGAACGGGUGAGUAAUGCAUCGGAACGUGCCCAGUCGUGGGGGAUAACGCAGCGAAAGCUGUGCUAAUACCGCAUACGAUCUAUGGAUGAAAGCGGGGGACCGUAAGGCCUCGCGCGAUUGGAGCGGCCGAUGUCAGAUUAGCUAGUUGGUGGGGUAAAGGCCUACCAAGGCGACGAUCUGUAGCUGGUCUGAGAGGACGACCAGCCACACUGGGGCUGAGACACGGCCCAGACUCCUACGGGAGGCAGCAGUGGGGAAUUUUGGACAAUGGGCGCAAGCCUGAUCCAGCAAUGCCGCGUGCAGGAAGAAGGCCUUCGGGUUGUAAACUGCUUUUGUACGGAACGAAACGGUCUGGGUUAAUACCCUGGGCUAAUGACGGUACCGUAAGAAUAAGCACCGGCUAACUACGUGCCAGCCGCCGCAGUAACAC